CUAGUAAGAGGAGAUCGCAUCCUGUGUAUUCUCAAUCCUAGAUGACUUAGAAAAAAUCUUUUGGCCAAAAAUAGGAAGGAGAUUAGAAAGAGUUUUUAAUGCUUCUUCAUUAGAGUCAUCAUUAGUUAAUUGAGAAUCGAUAUGAAUAUAUGUUUGAGUUUGACAUGAUUCCAUACUUACGAACAUAUUCAGAGUGCAGG
rnacentral:lncRNA from 1 species